CCUACGGGAGGCAGCAGUGGGGAAUAUUGGACAAUGGGCGCAAGCCUGAUCCAGCCAUGCCGCGUGAGUGAUGAAGGCCCUAGGGUUGUAAAGCUCUUUCGGCGGGGAAGAUAAUGACGGUACCCGCAUAAGAAGCCCCGGCUAACUUCGUGCCAGCAGCCGCGGUAAUACGAAGGGGGCUAGCGUUGCUCGGAAUCACUGGGCGUAAAGGGUGCGUAGGCGGGUCUUUAAGUCAGAGGUGAAAUCCUGGAGCUCAACUCCAGAACUGCCUUUGAUACUGAGGAUCUUGAGUUUGGGAGAGGUGAGUGGAACUGCGAGUGUAGAGGUGAAAUUCGUAGAUAUUCGCAAGAACACCAGUGGCGAAGGCGGCUCACUGGCCCGAUACUGACGCUGAGGCACGAAAGCGUGGGGAGCAAACAGGAUUAGAUACCCUGGUAGUCCACGCCUUAAACGAUGAAUGCCAGCGUGUGGUUACGUCAUCAGUGGCGCAGACUACGUACUUACGUACACUCCGUCCGUCGGGAGGUACGGUCGCGAGAAGUUAAACUACGAAAGUUAAGUUAGUACGGCGUUGAGACGUUGCCGACGGACGACGACGAGGGAGAGG
rnacentral:rRNA from 1 species